rnacentral:rRNA from 1 species
UCAUGGCUCAGAUUGAACGCUGGCGGCAGGCCUAACACAUGCAAGUCGAGCGGAAACGAGUUAUCUGAACCUUCGGGGAACGAUAACGGCGUCGAGCGGCGGACGGGUGAGUAAUGCCUAGGAAAUUGCCCUGAUGUGGGGGAUAACCAUUGGAAACGAUGGCUAAUACCGCAUGAUGCCUACGGGCCAAAGAGGGGGACCUUCGGGCCUCUCGCGUCAGGAUAUGCCUAGGUGGGAUUAGCUAGUUGGUGAGGUAAGGGCUCACCAAGGCGACGAUCCCUAGCUGGUCUGAGAGGAUGAUCAGCCACACUGGAACUGAGACACGGUCCAGACUCUCUACGGGAGGCAGCAGUGGGGAAUAUUGCACAAUGGGCGCAAGCCUGAUGCAG